rnacentral:rRNA from 1 species
CCUACGGGUGGCAGCAGUGAGGAAUAUUGGGCAAUGGAGGCAACUCUGACCCAGCCAUGCCGCGUGAGUGAAGAAGGUUUUCGGAUUGUAAAGCUCUUUCGGAAGUGACGAUGAUGACGGUAGCAUCUAAAGAAGCCACGGCUCACUCAGUGCCAGCAGCCGCGGUACUACGCAGGGGGCAAGCGAUGUUCGGAAUUACUGGGCGUAAAGGGAGUGUAGGCGGUUUAGUAAGAUAGUUGUGAAAUCCCAGAGCUUAACUUUGGAAUUGUCAUUAUAACUAUUAGACUAGAAUUACAGAGAGGAUAGUGGAAUACCCAGUGUAGAGGUGAAAUUCGUAGAUAUUGGGUAGAACACCAGUGGCGAAGGCGGCUAUCUGGCUGUACAUUGACGCUGAGGCUCGAAAGCAUGGGGAUCAAACAGGAUUAGAUACCCUAGUAGUC